GUCGGUGCGUUGCGCCGGGUGAGUUGACCCGUUCCCAUGCCGAACACGGUCGUCCCCCGCCCGUACGCUGAGACUACUGGUCCCGUCGGGGACUGGGAUCAUCAGGCCGUGCCGACC
rnacentral:rRNA from 1 species